rnacentral:tRNA from 1 species
GCCCAGCUAGCUCAGUCAGUAGAGCAUGAGACUCUUAAUUUCAGGAUCACGGUUUCAAGCCCCAUGUUGGGUG